GUGCCAGCAGCCGCGGUAAUACGGAGGGGGCUAGCGUUGUUCGGAAUUACUGGGCGUAAAGCGCACGUAGGCGGCUUUGCAAGUCAGAGGUGAAAGCCCGGGGCUCAACCCCGGAAUUGCCUUUGAGACUGCAUCGCUAGAACGUCGGAGAGGUGAGUGGAAUUCCGAGUGUAGAGGUGAAAUUCGUAGAUAUUCGGAAGAACACCAGUGGCGAAGGCGACUCACUGGACGACCGUUGACGCUGAGGUGCGAAAGCGUGGGGAGCAAACAGGAUUAGAUACCCUCGUAGUCC
rnacentral:rRNA from 1 species